rnacentral:lncRNA from 1 species
UUCGGCAGACACAACAUCUUUGUUGGUAUGUGGUGCUGAGGAUCGAACCCGGGCCACACGCAUGCCAGGCGAGCGCGCUACCGCUUGAGCCACAUCCCCAGCCCAGGCUUUCUUCAUACAGAAGUUAAAAUGACCUUAGAACAUUAGUUGGAUUAUGACCUUCACCUGCUUAAACCCUGUCACUGAGUCACAGCUGGGUCUACAGCAGGGUUCCCAAUGUCUCCUCUCCCGAUUGUUCCUGACAUUCAGCCGCCUGCCCUUCCACUUCCUUAAGUGUGCCAGCUCUUUUCUGCCUGUUCGCCGACUCUCGCGUCUGCCCCCUCCUGCUCAGCACUCUUCAUUGGGCUGAUUCCCACACAGUGUUCUUUUCUCUUCUUUCUUCACAGCAUUCAGUACAAUCCACAGCUUUUCUAUGAUGUAUUAGUUAUCAGUUGCUGCAUAACAAAUUUCCCCAAGACUUAGUGGGAAGAAACAACUUUUACCACUCCAGAUCCUGUGGAUUCAGGAUUCAGUUUCAGGAUUCAGGUGAAGCUGAGCUGAGACUCUGCCUUGAAUCUUCAAAGGCUGCAUGUAACCAAGGUGUCCACUGGGGAGUUCACACGGGACAAGAGCCCUUCCAAGACCAGACGCUCGUGGUUGUAGGCAGGGUUCAGUUCACAGGCUCUGGGAGGGAGGCUCUCAUGCUGACUGUUGGUUGGGGACACCCUCAGCUCCUUGCUUUGUGGCCUCCCCACAGCGUGCUUCAUCAAGGCGUGUGAGCUGCGAAGGCAACAGGCAACCUGCUAGCAGGACAAAGUCACGGUUUUUAUAACCUCAUUACAGAAGUGACCUUGCAUCUCUCUGGCUCCCCUUGCUGGUGUGGAUCAAGUCAUGGGGGGCUGGGGUUGUAGGUCAGUGGUAGAGCACUUGCCUAGCACUUGUGAGGCACUAGGUUCGAUCUCCAGCACCACAUAAGA